GCCUCCUGGUGUAACUAUCAGCCGUGGGGCCAAGAAACGAGAGACGAUGCCUUCGAUACUUCGACGAUAUAAUCCGCUCUCGUUUUCCUUUGAUCCAUCUUCGACGAAUCGGUGAAACAGUUGGAACAGCCUUCGACUUCGUUGUCAAGUUCGCAAGAAUUAGAUUGGUGGCCGCUCGUAAAAUCUGAUACAUUGUGCGGCCAGCCGUGGCGUAUUCGUCAUGUCGAGACACACCGAAGACACGCGAUCGACGAAACGAAAGGAUUGACCCCGUAGAACGUCCGUGACCAACCAUCUUCUUUUUCUUUGCCAGGCACCUACGACUCCAGCGUUCCACGAAGUAUCGAUUUAUGGGGAACGAACACAGGAACGUCACAUCGACGUGGUGAUUUCUCGUUGCCUAAAUUCAAACAACAUCGCAUCCAGCGCGUCUUUAAAGCGUUCAGUCGAUCCAUCGGCAAUUUUUCAUGCGAUUCCAAUCCACGAGGAAAGCGCGUCUGGCUGACGACGCGGAGGCGGCCCAUGCGAGCCGGCCCGCACAAAGGCGCAUCCUCGCGAGGAAAUUUAUCGCGACGGGACGACGUUUCCCGUGAAAAGCGUCGAAGAAAGAAGAUAGAAACGAGGCGAGGAGCGCGGAGAACGCAGCAAUCUGGUGAAUAGGCGCGCCUUCCAGAAGCGUCGCGAAUCAAUUCCCGGAUUGACUCUGCACCAGGUUGCCGCGCCGAUUUUUCAGCUUUCUCCAGGCGGAAAACUCGCACGUCUCGUAUCCAUGGCAUAUUUGCCUGGUUACUGAAUGGAAAAUGGAUCGACAAGAAUGCAAUAUCGGAACUCGCGAACAAUCGUUCGAUGUCAGGUAAUAGAGACGAUAUCGAUAUGCCAAGAAUUUUUGUUACCUUUGAUCGUUGAGUGAAGCCCUUCGUGUUUAAGGUAUUUAUUUAUUUAACGAUUAUUUAACGUGCUUGACUAUUAUUAUGGUUACUAUAGUGAUCGAUACUGGACUUGUCAUUGGCGAUUUGCAAAUUAAUUAAAAUAUUUGAAUUAAAGAAACGUUGAUGGAAAUUCAGUAAAUCUUUGAUACUUUUGAUAUCAUUUGAUCAAUCAUUUUGAUUUAAAAUGCUGUAGUUGCAUCUGUUAUAAAAUAUUUGGCAAAAGUGUUCGUGUACCCUAUCUCAAUCAACAUAGAUCAUAUCUUCUUCUACAAAAAUACUUGAACAACUAAGAAGAUAAAGUUUUGCCAAGUCUUAUUAUUUCAAAAUAUAUCUAGA